rnacentral:lncRNA from 1 species
GAUGCCUUGAAUUCUCUUUUUACUACCAAAAUUCUUCUCCAACUCUUUUUUUUACAAGAUUUACUCAAUAUAUGUCCUAAACACCAAAUAAGAGAAUCAAAAUAAGACUUCAAGGGUCACUAAUGUCUAAUAAAGGUGACUCUAAAUAUUUAAAAUUACUACCAAUAAAAUCAAUCUCAAAAUUCACUAUCAAAAGAAAAUAAAGUUAUACAAAUUUUAAUAGUAAUCCUUUUAAACAACCUCUUUUUAAAGUAGUAAUUUAACCACAUUCUACAACCAAUUAAAAUCCAAUAACAUGGCUCUCAUCUUAUUGUUAAGUAAAUUAUACAUUAAAUACAUAAUCACAUUAUUUUCAUAUGGUAGCCAAUCCACAAUACAACAAU